rnacentral:rRNA from 1 species
UACGUAGGGUUCAAGCGUUGUCCGGAAUUAUUGGGCGUAAAGAGCUUGUAGGCGGUUUGUCGCGUCUGCUGUGAAAUUUCGGGGCUCAACCCCGAACUUGCAGUGGGUACGGGCAGACUAGAGUGUGGUAGGGGAGACUGGAAUUCCUGGUGUAGCGGUGAAAUGCGCAGAUAUCAGGAGGAACACCGGUGGCGAAGGCGGGUCUCUGGGCAGUAACUGACGCUGAGGAGCGAAAGCGUGGGGAGCGAACAGG